UAUACAUAAUUGUCACCAUCCAUCUACUGAUAUUAGACCCAAGGAGAUUGCUAAGCACUGUCAAGCUUUCAUCUUCUCCCUUGUAACCCAUCAUCUACUGCAUUACAAUCCCAGGCUUUCAAUGUGCCCAGAACGGUUUAGCUGGAGUGCGCUUCAGUGCCUUCACUGCCAAAGGAUUGCCCUUGCUCUGCCAAAAAAACAACUGUUUAAAACUUCAAUUGAAACAAAUAGAAUGAAAGGAUUGAUGACUUUGGACUUAAGCGUACCAUCAAGCAGGUGCCUUCAUGUAUGUUGCAGACAGGGUAGUCAUGAGGGCAGCAGCUGUAGCGAUCUUCGCAGCAAGUGGCAGCCUCGAGUGGGCAGCAUCCCCAAGCAAAGCAGUAGUUAUAGUACUCGUAUAUGCAGCAGCAGGUAUUGCUCUCGGGACAGGAAUAAUAACUAUCGCACACGGUCGGAGGCUUUAUAGGAGAUGGUGGAGACGGUCCGGGAUUGGGGGGAUUUUCACCUGUUUUGAUCGGAUAAGAGGCUUCCAUCGCGAUCCCACAUUUGCCAGUUACGGUAUUGGCCACAUUCCUUGCCAUCCUGAUAUAGCCUGCUUCUCCCCAGCUGCUUCCCCAUGAGUUCUUUACAAUCCAAUAGUCUUUACCUUUCUCUGUGCCAUAUCCAACAGCAGUGACACCGUGGUCUAGUUGUGUUCCACAUUUUCCAUCAAAUAU
rnacentral:lncRNA from 1 species